GGAGUCGCUGGGUAAUGCGCCAUGUGAGGCGCGGUGGGACUGUCGUUCCUGGACCAACGCCGAGACUUCCUAAAUCCCUCCGGAAAGGGAUGCGUUGGGCCUGUGAUCUGGCGACUAGGAGGGUCAGGAGUCCCAGUAGAGGGAAUCACGGGAAAAGAAUGAAAGAGGGAGGCGAGCCUGGCACGGCUUCCUGGAGAAACAAACUAAGCUAACAAAUUUUUCGGAUCCUUUGUGCAGCUAAUUUUACAGUACUGUUUCAUACAUCUUAUUAUAUUUGGACAUCACGGCCUGUUGAGUGGUCUCCCUCUCUGCUGCAAGCUCUGCUGUAAUCCAGAGACACUCAAUUAUCUCUGUAGGAUAAUUUAUUCAUUCGAUUAACAUACAUUACUACUAACUUUUUAUAAACCAGUACUGUUCCAAGCACCGGAGAUACAUAGCUAUGAACGAAACAAAUAUCCCUGCUCAGGGAAUUCACAAUAGAGUGAGGGGAAAUAAGCGAAUAAACAAUGAAUCUCUUGUUCUGAGGGAAGCCAUGUACAUCAUUAGCAGUUCUAUAAAGAGGAUCACAUGGCAAGAAACUGAAACAUUCUGCCAGCUGCCCUGUGAAAGAACUUGGAAGUAGACCCUCCAGCCCUAAUCAAGUCUUCAGAGACUGUACUCAGCCAACAAUUGACUGCAACCUCAUAAGAGACCCUGAGCCAGACCGCCCAACGAGAAACUGUACUAUGGAAAUUAUGUUAGACAAAAAACAAAUGCAAGCAGUUUUCUUAUUCGAGUUCAAAAUGGGCUGCAAAGCAGCAGAGACAACUUGCAACAUCAAGAGUGCAUUUGGCCCAGGAACUGCUAAUGAACGUACAGUGCAGUGGUGGUUCAAGAAGU
rnacentral:lncRNA from 10 species